rnacentral:rRNA from 1 species
GACGAACGCCGGCGGCGUGCCUAAUACAUGCAAGUUGAGCGCUGAAGGUUGGUACUUGUACCCACUGGAUGAGCAGCGAACGGGUGAGUAACGCGUGGGGAAUCUGCCUUUGAGCGGGGGACAACAUUUGGAAACGAAUGCUAAUACCGCAUAAAAACUUUAAACACAAGUUUUAAGUUUGAAAGAUGCAAUUGCAUCACUCAAAGAUGAUCCCGCGUUGUAUUAGCUAGUUGGUGAGGUAAAGGCUCACCAAGGCGAUGAUACAUAGCCGACCUGAGAGGGUGAUCGGCCACAUUGGGACUGAGACACGGCCCAAACUCCUACGGGAGGCAGCAGUAGGGAAUCUUCGGCAAUGGACGAAAGUCUGACCGAGCAACGCCGCGUGAGUGAAGAAGGGUGUCGGAUCGUAAAACUCUGUUGGUAGAGAAGAACGUUGGUGAGAGUGGAAAGCUCAUCAAGUGACGGUAACUACCCAGAAAGGGACGGCUAACUACGUG